CAGAGUUGCAAGACUCCCUAAACCAUUGUGAACCUACCUUCUACCGUUGCUUCGGCGGGCGGGCCCAGCGCCCCCCCGGCCCCCCGCGGGCGCCCGCUGAGGAUACCCAAACUCUGACAUUAGUGGCCUCUCUGAGUAUUCUUUACUGAAUAAGUCA
rnacentral:misc_RNA from 1 species